GCAUAGUCACGUUACUACCAGAGGCUGGACAGAGCAGGAAAUGGAAUGGGAAGUUGUACAAGAUCUCAGUUAAUGGCCAUGAAAAAACCCAUGCCCCUGGAUCGCCUCAACAGGUGAUGACCCAGUUACAUUAAUAAUCCAGUAUAGGAUUUUAUUCUCCUUAUUUACACAUGGUACUCCCAUUUAGACUCGUUUGAGUGAUUUAGCUUCAGCAGGAAAAAGGAGAUUUAAAUCUCUGGUUUCUUCUAUGCCUGUUUCAAGAAAGAAAUUAACUGUACUGUACAAAAGCAAAAGAACUCCAGGCUACAGAAUCUGACUACACUGAAAAUAAAAGCAGCAGUGGCAUUGUAGCAGGGAGUUACAAACGGAGGUCACUCUUCACUUUUAAACUUUAUACUUCAGUAAGGAAGGUCAUGAUUCAAGUUCUUGAAGGGGAAAGUUUUGCUUAGUUUAGUUUUGACAUUUCAGUAAGUUCACCACCACUGGUACGCUCCUGAAAAAAAAAGAAAAANAAAAAAAAAAAAAAAAAAAAAAAAAAAAAAAAACAAAAACCAACCAUGGAUUAUCUCAGGUAUCUUUCCAACUAUUAUUCCAGUCAGUAUAUGUCAUUAUUUUGAGUUUGAACACUGUGCUGAUUGAUGCUCAAGUGAAUCAGCCUUUUUUUUUUUCUCAGUAUCAAGCAAUUCAUUAAAAAUCUUAUUAAUUUUAGGAGUCUUGGAUGCCCCUUUUCUUUGCUGUGACCUGAAUGAGCCAAUUCAUAGCAGAUAGUCUGACCAUUUUCACUCUGUCCAGAUCAUAUUGUUUGGAUGUCUUGGGAAAACUACUUUGGAGAAGAAGAGAAAGACAAUUUCCUUACCACAGAGAGCAGGGGGUGUAG
rnacentral:lncRNA from 1 species